AGGGUGUAAACGCUGCAGACUUGGUGUUGGGAACCCUUCGGGGGUGCUCAGUGCCGGAGAGAAGUUGUUAAGUCUGCUACUUGGGGAGUACGUCCGCAAGGAUGAAACUUAAAGGAAUUGGCGGGGGAGGCACCGCAACGGGAGGAGCGUGCGGUUUAAUUGGAUUCAACGCCGAAAAACUCACCAGCAGCGACUGUUACAUGAAAGUCAGGUUGAUGACCUUACUAGAUUUUCAGAGAGGAGGUGCAUGGCGUCAGUGACU
rnacentral:rRNA from 1 species